rnacentral:tRNA from 1 species
ACCUGGGUGGCUGAGUUGGUUAAGCAUCAGACUUCGACUCAGGUCUUGACCUCGCGGUUCGUGGGUUAGAGCCCCACGUCAGGCU